UACGGAGGAUUCGAGCGUUAUCCGGAUUUACUGGGUUUAAAGGGUGCGUAGGUGGAAUGUCAAGUCAGUGGUGAAAACCUGCAGCUUAACUGUAGAACUGCCAUUGAUACUGUCAUUCUUGAGUGUAUUUGAUGUAAGUGGAAUGUGUCGUGUAGCGGUGAAAUGCUUAGAUAUGACACAGAACACCCAUUGCGAAGGCAGCUUACAAAACUACAACUGACACUGAGGCACGAAAGCGUGGGGAUCAAACAGG
rnacentral:rRNA from 1 species